rnacentral:lncRNA from 1 species
GCUCUAGAUCAAACUCAUCUGAGUGUUUUCUUCCUCUCCAGUGAAUGGAUUUCAUGGCAAUGGCAAUCCGCUGCAUCAGAGUGAGCCGUCGCAUGUACUGAUGCGGAAGACCAGCACAGAUCAUCAGAGUCCCGUCUCGACUUCACCCAGCCGGAAGCAGGAGUGUGAAUCCACAGUAACUGUGAGUACCACAGCUAAACCAACUCAUCUCAGACGCUUGAACUGCAUGACAACAAAACACACUCAAGCAAACGCACACUGUUUACUUUCCUAAUGCGUGGUUCUGGAUUUAUUGUGCACUAAUCUUUGGUGCAGGCUUUAAUAAUGUAAACAAAACUUGUUUUGUGUCUUCCUCUGACAUCACGCAGGCCGCUGGAACGUGUUAACCAACAGGGUUUUUCAAACUAUUCAGUGCUAAGGACCCGUAAAUAUGACCAUUCCCUUGCAAGGAAACCCUUUCCUAUAAUAUACAGGCAGCUAUAGAUUUUCAUUUAUGAAAACGGCCUUAUACUGUUUGAGAAAAAUAUGAUAUUAAAGACAAC